CCGCUGCCGGCGCGGCGGGGCGGGGGGGGGGCGGCCGCCGCUCUCCCAUCCUGCUUUUUUUUAAUUAUUGCCGAAACAAAGAGCGGCCUCCCCUCGCACAAAGCAUCCGGCGGCGGCGGAGCUGUCCCCGUGCCCGGCGGCCGCGGCUCUGCCCCUCGGCGGGCAGGUGGCGAGGGCUCCGCGCUGCCCCCGGGAAGGCUCCUCCGGGCGCCGGGUCUUGGCAGCCGGCUUCUGCCGGAGGAAGCGGGAGGAAGCGCGGCCUGGCAGGUGCGGGGAGCCCUGCUCCUCUCCCUGCUCCCGAAGGAGCGGUGCCCGGCGCCGGCCACGCCGGCGCGGAGCUGGCGAACAAAGUACAGCUCGGGCGACCGGCGGCAGAAGUGAAGCGGGCACCGCUCUGUGCCGCCUGCGGUCUGAGCGCGCUGGAAGCCGGGGCUCUUCUCUUGCAGCUUCGCAUCUGUGGGCAUCCUCCGCUGAAGGCAGCUACAGCGCUUGGUGAGACACAGCUGCCUGCCCCACGAGGGACCACGAGCACAGGCGGCUGUGGCCGCGCUAGGGAACACAGGCAAAACGUUUCGCACCGGUGCAGCCACUUGUUCGGCUGCAGUGAGGAUGCCUCAGCGUAGAUGAGAAACCAGCAGUCGCAUCUGUCAAACGAGAAGAACUUGUUUCUUUUCAAUAUUUGGCUGCCAAAGGGAACAUGUUUACUGGACUCAGGACCAAGGCAGGGCAAGAACAAGGAGAAGGUCUUGCAGGGACUGUGAAGAUUUUACAUAUAAACAUUAAAAUAAAAAAGCAAAAUGUAACCAGGCACAGAGUCCAGCAGGAAUCUAGGAACAAGCGGACAGCACUACGUGUAAAGAAGGGGACGCCGGCAAGGACGGCAAAAGAAUCCUCUGAAUAAGCUGAAUGCAAACUUUGCAUGCAACACUAUAUGGGGGCAGCCUUUGGGGAUCCCCCAUACGGCACAGGACCCUGAACUCAAAAAAGGGUGCCAGAUUUUGUGAGGGAUUUGCGCAUCAGGCAGUGGCUCUGCACUGCAGAUUUUAAGCACGACUAAAUCGGGCAAUAGAAUUGUUGCUAUUGCUAUUACAGAGCAGGAUAUUUCACUAAUCCAUGCAAUCCACUAAGUUGCUGUAGUUUUAGUCUGUGUUUAUUUUAGAUGAAAUUAUGUCCUGGACAGUUAAUUUUUCCUAGUUAUCCAAUCAAAUCCUAUAUAAACAAAAAUCAAACAAAAAUCAAAACAUGACCUGUGGUUUUUGUACCCGCCCCCCAUCAUGUGAACCUGCAGAUGAUGCAGCAGUGCACCAGUCGAGCAAACAAAUAAACAAAAAACAAUGAAAAACUACAGCUCUUCUUGAAAACUAGUCCCACUGGCUUUAAAUUAUAUUAACAAUGUAAUUUUCGUACUAGUGGUGGCCUAUUUUGCUUAUAUUUGAAACUCCCCAGCCAUUAUGGGAUUGCCUCCACUGGUCCUUUUCUUGCGUCAAGUAAAUGACAUAUUAACUUGAGGUAUUUAUCAAGGCUGAAAGGCUGGAAUGGAGCCUUUCCGAACACCGUGCGAGUUUAGAAAAGUCUGUUCUUUUACACGGGCUGAUUCCUAAUGCGAGGGGCAAACCUGGAACCAAACAGCCUGGAACCAAAGUGGUCACACUGGCCUUGGGAAGAAGUCAAGUAGCUCGAGUGAAAUGGCAGGCAGCUACCUGGAAAUAAAAGACUCUCAUGUUUCCCAAGGUUUACAUUGUGAUUUUCAAGAGCUCCUGAGCAAUUUAAAGUCCAUGAAAGGAAUGCACUAUAGAAUGAAAAAUACAGGUAUUAUUAAAGAAUGUCUGCAAACUGAAAGCUAGCCAGUUUCAUAAAAACGAGUUAAAAAACAAUAACAGGUACUCUGUCUCCUGCUGCAUGCUGUAUGAACCAUAUGUUUUGCAUUUUUAAAGUCGCUUUUAAAACAAUGUUUUUCUGUUCGCUGUUGCUAUUGUGAAAAAAAACAGUAAAAACAACUAUGCAUAAAAUGAGGUUAAAGUAAUCUAAUUAAAAAAAUAAACAAUGUGUUUUCAUCUUUAA